rnacentral:lncRNA from 10 species
ACUCCCUUCUCAGUUCCACACCUGACUUGCCCUUAGCAGGCGUGGGACCCAGGCCAGUAGCAUGAGCUGAGUGCAGCCUGCCAGGGUGGGUAGGCAAAAUGAGCCCAGCGGGCCAGAGCAAAACUUGGGCAAAGGUACCACUGGCCACAGAGGUUUCUGGUCAGAAAAAUGACACCCCAAAGAUCCUGUAACAUUAUAUGUACAUGCAUAUUCCAUGAUUCAAGUCCUCUUGUUUUAAACAAUGUUCACCAUUUUGUACCCUCACUAAACAUCUUCCAUCCUUAUUAAUGGAACAGCUUUCCAUUAAUUAAAAAAAAAUUAACCUCAUCUUCUACUGGGAAUCCUAGUUCCUUGACUCUUUCCAUUCAGACUCGACUGCUCUCAAGAUCUUGCAGUUUAAAUAGAAUUAAUAAGGGUAACUUGAUGUCAUUCCUUUCCCUUGCCUUUUCUGUCAGAGGGCAGACUUGCUUUGUUAAAACAUGAUGAGCUUAUGCCUUGGGAUCACAGUAUGUUUCUAUUUGGCAGGUAGUAUGUAGCCUUCACAGAACCUGGGACAGACUGGGCACGUAAAGUUGCCCAAUGGACUCAUUGACUAUUUGAUGACGUUUACGUCAAGUGUUUACUAUGGUCAAAUUGUAAAAUAUGAUCUUUUAGCUAAUGUUCACAAGUUACGUGACUUCAUGUUAUCUACAGCAUAGGAAAUUGAAAAUAGAUUUUUAAAUGUCUACAUAUAAACUUGCCACUAAAUCUAGUGACUUCGAAUAUUUUAUUUUUAGGGUUUUUAGAACAUGUAUAUUUCAGGUUUUUGCCUGCUAAUCACCCUUCUCCUAUUUUCUUUAACAGAUUACCAAAAUUGAAAAUAUUAAUCAUUUGUGUGAGUUGAGAGUUUUAAAUCUUGCCAGGAACUUUUUAAGUCAUGUUGAUAAUCUUAAUGGGCUGGAUUCACUAACUGAACUUAACUUGCGACACAAUCAAAUCACUUUCGUGAGAGAUGUGGAUAAUUUGCCCUGCCUCCAACAUCUCUUUCUCAGCUUUAACAAUAUAUCUAGUUUUGACAGUGUUUCCUGCCUUGCUGACUCUUCUUCCCUCUCGGACAUCACCUUUGAUGGCAAUCCCAUAGCUCAAGAGUCAUGGUACAAACACACUGUCCUUCAGAAUAUGAUGCAGCUGCGCCAGCUAGAUAUGAAGAGAAUCACGGUGAGAA